rnacentral:rRNA from 1 species
GACGAACGCUGGCGGCGUGCCUAACACAUGCAAGUCGAACGGUAACAGGAAACAGCUUGCUGUUUCGCUGACGAGUGGCGGACGGGUGAGUAAUGUCUGGGAAACUGCCUGAUGGAGGGGGAUAACUACUGGAAACGGUAGCUAAUACCGCAUAACGUCGCAAGACCAAAGAGGGGGACCUUCGGGCCUCUUGCCAUCGGAUGUGCCCAGAUGGGAUUAGCUAGUAGGUGGGGUAACGGCUCACCUAGGCGACGAUCCCUAGCUGGUCUGAGAGGAUGACCAGCCACACUGGAACUGAGACACGGUCCAG